GAUGAACGCUGGCGGCGUGCUUAACACAUGCAAGUCGAACGGAAAGGCCACAGCUUGCUGUGGUACUCGAGUGGCGAACGGGUGAGUAACACGUGGGUGAUCUGCCCUGUACUUCGGGAUAAGCUUGGGAAACUGGGUCUAAUACCGGAUAGGAAUCACAUGAGGGCGUGUGGUUGGAAAGCUUUUGCGGUAUGGGAUGAGUUCGCGGCCAAUCAGCUUGUCGGUGGGGUAAUGGCCUACCAAGGCAUCGACGGGUAGCCGGCCUGUGAGGGUGUACGGCCACAUUGGUACUAAGAUACGGCGCAGACUCGUACGGGAGGCAGCAGUGGGAAAUAUUGCGCAGUGAGCGCAAGCCUGUUGCAGAGACGCCGCGUGGGGGAUAACGGCCUUCGGGUUAUAAACACCUUUCGUCGGGGACGAAGCGAAAGUGACGGUACCUGGAUAAGAAGCACCGGCUAACUACGUG
rnacentral:rRNA from 1 species